UUGCUAUCUACGGUAUGGAUGAUUCGAACCUGCAGCAGGUCCGAGCCGAACGCAGUGAGGCAACGGAGUCGUUUACGGCGACGGCCCGAAGGGCGAGCGAAGCGAGUCAUCCUGCACGACCCACCA
rnacentral:sRNA from 1 species